rnacentral:rRNA from 1 species
AGUGAACGCUGGCGGUAGGCCUAACACAUGCAAGUCGAACGGCAGCACAGUAAGAGCUUGCUCUUACGGGUGGCGAGUGGCGGACGGGUGAGGAAUACAUCGGAAUCUACUUUUUCGUGGGGGAUAACGUAGGGAAACUUACGCUAAUACCGCAUACGACCUACGGGUGAAAGCAGUGGAUCUUCGGACCUUGCGCGAUUGGAUGAGCCGAUGUCGGAUUUGCUAGUUGGCGGGGGAAAGGCCCACCAAGGCGACGAUCCGUAGCUUGUCUGAGAGGAUGGUCAGCCACACUGGAACUGAGACACGGUCCAGACUCCUACGGGAGGCAGCAGUGGGGAAUAUUGGACAAUGGGCGCAAGCCUGAUCCAGCCAUACCGCGUGGGUGAAGAAGGCCUUCGGGUUGUAAAGCCCUUUUGUUGGGAAAGAAAAGCAGCAGGUUAAUACCCCGCUGUUCUGACGGUACCCAAAGAAUAAGCAACGGCUAACUUCGUG